AACGCGAAGAACCUUACCUGGGCUCGAAGCGCAGUGGAAUCCGGUGGAAACAUCGGCGCCCCUUAAAAGGCUGCUGCGGAGGUGCUGCAUGGCUGUCGUCAGCUCGUGUCGUGAGAUGUUGGGUUAAGUCCCGCAACGAGCGCAACCCUUAUCGUUAGUUGCCAUCGGGUCAAGCCGGGCACUCUAGCGAAACCGCCCAGGAUAACUGGGAGGAAGGUGGGGAUGACGUCAAGUCCUCAUGGCCUUUAUGUCCAGGGCUACACACGUGCUACAAUGGUCGGUACAAACCGUCGCAAACCCGCGAGGGGGAGCUAAUCGGAAAAAGCCGACCUCAGUUCGGAUUGGAGUCUGCAACCCGACUCCAUGAAGCUGGAAUCGCUAGUAAUCGCAGAUCAGAACGCUGCGGUGAAUACGUUCCCGGGCCUUGUA
rnacentral:rRNA from 1 species